rnacentral:rRNA from 1 species
UAAUACAGAGGGCGCAAGCGUUGUUCGGAAUUACUGGGCGUAAAGCGCGCGCAGGCGGAACGGUAAAGUCCGGAGUGAAAUCUCGCCGCUCAACGGCGAGGCUGCUUUGGAUACUGACGAUCUAGGGACCGGUAGAGGCUGGUAGAAUUGCAGGUGUAGCGGUGGAAUGCGUAGAGAUCUGCAAGAAUACCCGUGGCGAAGGCGGCCAGCUGGGCCGGGUCCGACGCUGAGGCGCGAAAGCGUGGGGAGCAAACAGGAUUAGAUACCCUGGUAGUCCACGCCGUAAACGAUGGGCACUAGGUGCCGGGGGGAGCGACCCCUUCGGUGCCGCAGCUAACGCGAUAAGUGCCCCGCCUGGGGAGUACGGCCGCAAGGCUG